rnacentral:rRNA from 1 species
CAUGACNCUUCUCAAGCCUUAUNCCCAAGUCGAACGUNNNANCCNUAACNAUGCUCCACGAGUGCCGAACAGGGGAGUAAUACAUCGGAACUUGCCCCAUCGUGGGGGAUAACCAGGCGAAAGCUUUGCUAAUACCGCAUACAAUCUACUGAUGAAAGGGGGGGAUCUUCUGACCUCGCGCGGACAGANCGGCCUAUGGCACAUUAUGUAGUUGGUGGGAUAAAAGCUUACCAAGCCGACCAUCUGUAGCUGGUCUGAGAGGAUGAUCACCCACACUGGGACUGAGACACGGCCCAGACUCCUACGGGAGGCAACAGUGGGGAAUUUUUUACAAUGGGCGAAAGCCUGAUCCAGCCAUGCCUCGUGCAGGAUAAAAGCCUUCUGGUUGUAAACUGCUUU